rnacentral:rRNA from 1 species
UACGUAGGGUGCGAGCGUUGUUCGGAAUUACUGGGCGUAAAGCGCGCGCAGGCGGUUCGAUAAGUUGGGGGUGAAAUCCCCGGGCUCAACCCGGGAAUGGCCUUCAAGACUGUCGAGCUAGAGGACGAGAGAGGUGAGUGGAAUUCCCAGUGUAGAGGUGAAAUUCGUAGAUAUUGGGAAGAACACCGGUGGCGAAGGCGGCUCACUGGCUCGUUUCUGACGCUGAGGCGCGAAAGCGUGGGGAGCAAACAGG